AGAGGAAAAUAAGAGUCCGGAACCCAAUUAUGGUUCAUUUGGACUCAAAAUACAUAAAUAGGUAGGAAAAUAAAAAGAUGACAUAUUUAUAUAUAGUGCCACAAUACUUGGCGCUAUACAUUAACGGUAACUGUGACGGUAAUGUAUAGCGCCAAGUAUUGUGGCACUAUAUAUAAAUAUGUCAUCUUUUUUUUUUUCCUACCUAUUUAUGUAUUUUGAGUCCAAAAGAACCAUAAUUGGGUUCCGGACUCCCAUAAUGGAAGGCCAGUAUCGGAGUCAUUUGUCAUUCUUGAAUACAUUGAUGAGACAUGGAAGAACGAACCUCGACUCUUGCCUGAAGAUCCUUAUGAAAGAUCCAGAGUCCGGUUUUGGGCUUCUUACAUCCAACAGGUCUUCAAAGGGGAAGAAAAAGCAUUAGAGGAAUUUUAUGAGAAACUGAAGAUGGAAUCAAGAAUUCCUCUCUGGGUAUGGACAGGAAUAUAGGGUUGCUAGAUAUCAUGAUCAUUGUAACACUAGGGGCAUACAAAGCACAAGAGCAAGUGUUUGGUGUGAAGAUAUUAGAUCCAGAGAAGACACCCCUGUUAUACUCAUGGCUGACUAGUUUAAUUGAGCUGCCUAUAGUUAAAGAAAUCACUCCACCUCAUGACAAGGUGGUUUCAUUUCUUCAUUUUCUCAAAGAUAUCGUCUUCAAAGCUCCGGCCAAUUGAGCUUUUUUAAUGUGUGUUUAUGUCCAUCUCUGUCUGUUGUGUGUACUUACUCAUUAAUUGUACUGAAUGUCUUGUCCUCUGUAUUGUAUAAUAAGGCUUAUGCCCAUUUGGAUUCCAAAGCCUACUUAAUUACAUUUUGAGUGUGGUUAUACAACAAAAAGUCAUCAUCCAGAAAAAAGUUCUUCAUGAGCAAGUAUUAUUCUGAUAUUUCUAUGAAAUUAGGGCAAA